AACGCUAGCUACAGGCUUAACACAUGCAAGUCGAGGGGCAGCAUUUCAGUUUGCUUGCAAACUGGAGAUGGUGACCGGCGCACGGGUGAGUAACACGUAUCCAACCUGCCGAUAACUCGGGGAUAGCCUUUCGAAAGAAAGAUUAAUACCCGAUGGUAUAAUCAGACCGCAUGGUCUUGUUAUUAAAGAAUUUCGGUUAUCGAUGGGGAUGCGUUCCAUUAGGCAGUUGGUGAGGUAACGGCUCACCAAACCUUCGAUGGAUAGGGGUUCUGAGAGGAAGGUCCCCCACAUUGGAACUGAGACACGGUCCAAACUCCUACGGGAGGCAGCAGUGAGGAAUAUUGGUCAAUGGGCGCAGGCCUGAACCAGCCAAGUAGCGUGAAGGAUGACUGCCCUAUGGGUUGUAAACUUCUUUUAUAUGGGAAUAAAGUUUUCCACGUGUGGAAUUUUGUAUGUACCAUAUGAAUAAGGAUCGGCUAACUCCGUGCCAGCAGCCGCGGUAAUACGGAGGAUCCGAGCGUUAUCCGGAUUUAUUGGGUUUAAAGGGAGCGUAGGUGGACAGUUAAGUCAGUUGUGAAAGUUUGCGGCUCAACCGUAAAAUUGCAGUUGAUACUGGCUGUCUUGAGUACAGUAGAGGUGGGCGGAAUUCGUGGUGUAGCGGUGAAAUGCUUAGAUAUCACGAAGAACUCCGAUUG
rnacentral:rRNA from 1 species